UUCUGGGAGGAUUGACAGAUUGAGAGCUCUUUCUUGAUUCGGUGGAUGGUGGUGCAUGUCCGUUUUUACUUGGUGGAGUGACUUGUCUGGUUAAUUCUGAUAACAAACGAGAUUCUAGCCUAUUAAAUAGGGGCGUGGUUCUCUGCAGUUUGCACCCUUCCGAGAGGGACGAGCACCUCCUAGCCGCACGAAACAGAGCAAUAACAGGUCUGUCACCUUUAGAU
rnacentral:rRNA from 1 species